GAGGAGGAGUGAGGCCGGCCGGAUUUAGGGAAGGCUGAGAGGAUAAAAGCGAUGAUGGACUCUAGUCACUCCCCCCCCGCCCCCCCCGGCCGCGCUUCACCGCUUCAAAAGGGGUGAAGGCUCUCCCUUCCACCGCCGGGAGCCAUGUUGCCUAGUCUUCUCUAUGCGCCCCUUUUCUACCACCUUCUCUGCCUUAUCCUCAGGGCUGCAGCAGGAGCCAUCCUUCAUGUACCUUCAUAGAGAAUUUGGGAUUGAGCUGGAGGAGAGAUGAAAAAUCCUGGCUGCAUUCAAGCAUCUGAUGUAUUUGUUCCUAAGGCCCAUCUGCAUUAUCCCUGGGUUUUGUGAGACACUACCAUCUUUAUAAUAAAUUCCUCUUUUUGCUUAA